GAUCACCGUGCCUCACCAUGUCAGACGCAGCGGUAGGCACCAGCUCCGAAAUCACCAGCAAGGACUUGAAGGAGAAGAAGGAAGUUGUGGAAGAGACGCCCCUGCUAACCGGAAUGCCAGUGAGGAAAAUGGGGAGCAGACGGCUGACAAUGAGGUAGAUGAAGAAGAGGAAGAAGGUGGGGAGGCAGAGGAGGAAGAAGGUGAUGGUGAGGAGGAGGAUGGAGAUGAAGAUGAGGAAGCUGAGUCUGCUACGGGCAAGCGGGCAGCUGAAGAUGCUGAGGAUGGCGAUGUCGAUACCAAGAAGCAAAAGACCGACGAGGAUGAUUAGACAGCGAAAAAGGAAAAGUUAACAUAAAAAAAACCCCAAAACAAAAGGCCGCCGUGACCUAUUCACCCUCCACUUCCUGUCUCAGAAUCUAAACGUGGUCUCCUUCGAGUAGAGAGGCCGGCCCGCCCACCGCAGAGGACACCCCGCGCUCUCCACUACCCAACCCAAACCAUGAGAAUUUGCAACAGGGGAGGAAAAAAGAACCAAAAUUUCCAAGGCCCUGCUUUUUUUCUUAAAAGUACUUUAAAAAGGAAAUUUGUUUGUGUUUUUAAUUUAUAUUUUAUAUUUUUGUACAUAUUGUUAGGGUCAGCCAUUUUUAAUGAUCUCGGAUGACCAAAGCAGCCUUCAGAGCGUUCUCUGUCCUGCUUCUGACUUUACUUGUGGUGUGACCAUGUUCAUUAUAAUCUCAAAGGAGAAAAAACCUUGUAAAAAAAAAGCGAAAAUGACAACAGAAAAACAAUCCUAUUCCGAGCAUUCCAGUACCUUUGUUGUGUAUGUACUUAGCUGUACUAUAAGUAGUUGGUUUGUAUGAGAUGGUU